AGAACACGGUUGAAGGUUUAUUUCAGGUUUCAAGACUGCCAAGAUUAACCUCUUUGAUCCAAGAAGCUCAAGACUUCCCCAAUAAGGUUUUGAUGUUCGAGUUUUGCAAAGCAACAACACAAAGGUUCAAGAAACAAGUGCAAACAGAUUCGGCAACCCAGCAAUUAAUUCCAGCAACGACUCAAGGGAAUGACAAUAAGGUAUGCAACACAAGAGAUUUUUUUUUUUCUGGAUUUAAACAGAACAUAAACACAAGACAAAACUGGACAGAAAAUUUCGGACAACAACUAAACAACAAAGACAGAUUUCUGACAAGGAAACAACCAAGACAGAUUUCUGACAAGGAAACAACAAAGACAGAUUUCGGACUUGACAAACCCGAGCACUUGAGCUACGAAUUUAGAAGACUAAAAUAGAUCUAAAAACGAUAAAAAAGGAUAUUCGUGAUACCUCUAACUAGCUCUGAU
rnacentral:lncRNA from 1 species